GACCUCGGAUCAGGUAGGAAUACCCGCUGAACUUAAGCAUAUCAUAG
rnacentral:rRNA from 1 species